UACGGAGGAUGCAAGCGUUAUCCGGAUUUAUUGGGUUUAAAGGGUGCGUAGGUGGAUUGAUAAGUCAGUGGUGAAAUACUAUGGCUCAACUAUGGAACUGCCAUUGAUACUGUCAGUCUUGAGUACAUUUGGAGUGGGCGGAAUAUGUCAUGUAGCGGUGAAAUGCUUAGAUAUGACAUAGAACACCGAUCGCGAAGGCAGCUCACUAAACUGUAACUGACACUGAGGCACGAAAGCGUGGGGAU
rnacentral:rRNA from 1 species